AAAAAAGGUAAGCUACUAAGAGCGAAUGGUGGAUGCCUUGACUGGUAAAGGCGAUGAAGGACGUACUAGACUGCGAUAAGCUACGGGGAGCUGUCAAGAAGCUUUGAUCCGUAGAUUUCCGAAUGGGGCAACCCAAUGUAUAGAGAUAUACAUUACCUAUAUAGGAGCGAACGAGGGGAAUUGAAACAUCUUAGUACCCUCAGGAAAAGAAAUCAAUAGAGAUUGCGUCAGUAGCGGCGAGCGAAAGCGCAAGAGGGCAAACCCAGUGCUUGCACUGGGGGUUGUAGGACUGCAAUGUGCAAGAGGUGAGUUUAGCAGAACAUUCUGGAAAGUAUAGCCAUAGAGGGUGAUAGUCCCGUAUGCGAAAAACAAACCUUAGCUAGCAGUAUCCUGAGUAGGGCGGGACACGAGAAAUCCUGUCUGAAGCUGGGUCGACCACGAUCCAACCCUAAAUACUAAUACCAGAUCGAUAGUGCACAAGUACCGUGAGGGAAAGGUGAAAAGAACUGAGGUGAUCAGAGUGAAAUAGAACCUGAAACCAUUUGCUUACAAUCAUUCAGAGCACUAUGUAGCAAUACAGUGUGAUGGACUGCCUUUUGCAUAAUGAGCCUGCGAGUUGUGGUGUCUGGCAAGGUUAAGCAAACGCGAAGCCGUAGCGAAAGCGAGUCUGAAUAGGGCGCUUAGUCAGAUGCUGCAGACCCGAAACGAAGUGAUCUAUCCAUGAGCAAGUUGAAGCUAGUGUAAGAACUAGUGGAGGACUGAACCCAUAGGCGUUGAAAAGCCCCGGGAUGACUUGUGGAUAGGGGUGAAAGGCCAAUCAAACUUCGUGAUAGCUGGUUCUCUCCGAAAUAUAUUUAGGUAUAGCGUUGUGUCGUAAUAUAAGGGGGUAGAGCACUGAAUGGGCUAGGGCAUACACCAAUGUACCAAACCCUAUCAAACUCCGAAUACCUUAUAUGUAAUCACAGCAGUCAGGCGGCGAGUGAUAAAAUCCGUCGUCAAGAGGGAAACAACCCAGACUACCAGCUAAGGUCCCUAAAUCUUACUUAAGUGGAAAACGAUGUGAAGUUACUUAAACAACCAGGAGGUUGGCUUAGAAGCAGCCAUCCUUUAAAGAAAGCGUAAUAGCUCACUGGUCUAGUGAUUUUGCGCGGAAAAUAUAACGGGGCUAAAGUAAGUACCGAAGCUGUAGACUUGACUUUGUCAAGUGGUAGGAGAGCGUUCUAUUUGCGUCGAAGGUAUACCGGUAAGGAGUGCUGGAGCGAAUAGAAGUGAGCAUGCAGGCAUGAGUAGCGAUAAUUAAUGUGAGAAUCAUUAACGCCGUAAACCCAAGGUUUCCUACGCGAUGCUCGUCAUCGUAGGGUUAGUCGGGUCCUAAGUCGAGUCCGAAAGGGGUAGACGAUGGCAAAUUGGUUAAUAUUCCAAUACCAACAUUAGUGUGCGAUGGAAGGACGCUUAGGGCUAAGGGGGCUAGCGGAUGGAAGUGCUAGUCUAAGGUCGUAGGUGCUUAUACAGGCAAAUCCGUAUAAGAAUACACCGAGAACUGAAAGGCUUUUUGAAGUCUUCGGAUGGAUAGAAGAACCCCUGAUGCCGUCGAGCCAAGAAAAGUUUCUAAGUUUAGCUAAUGUUGCCCGUACCGUAAACCGACACAGGUGGGUGGGAUGAGUAUUCUAAGGCGCGUGGAAGAACUCUCUUUAAGGAACUCUGCAAAAUAGCACCGUAUCUUCGGUAUAAGGUGUGGUUCGCUUCGUAUUAGGAUUUACUCCGAAAGCGAAGAAACUUACAACAAAGAGUCCCUCCCGACUGUUUACCAAAAACACAGCACUCUGCUAACUCGUAAGAGGAUGUAUAGGGUGUGACGCCUGCCCGGUGCUCGAAGGUUAAUUGAUGGGGUUAGCAUUAGCGAAGCUCUUGAUCGAAGCCCGAGUAAACGGCGGCCGUAACUAUAACGGUCCUAAGGUAGCGAAAUUCCUUGUCGGUUAAAUACCGACCUGCAUGAAUGGCGUAACGAGAUGGGAGCUGUCUCAAAGAGGGAUCCAGUGAAAUUGUAGUGGAGGUGAAAAUUCCUCCUACCCGCGGCAAGACGGAAAGACCCCGUGGACCUUUACUACAGCUUGACACUGCUACUUGGAUAAGAAUGUGCAGGAUAGGUGGGAGGCUUUGAGUAUAUGACGCCAGUUGUAUAUGAGCCAUUGUUGAGAUACCACUCUUUCUUAUUUGGGUAGCUAACCAGCUUGAGUUAUCCUCAAGUGGGACAAUGUCUGGUGGGUAGUUUGACUGGGGCGGUCGCCUCCCAAAUAAUAACGGAGGCUUACAAAGGUUGGCUCAGAACGGUUGGAAAUCGUUCGUAGAGUAUAAAGGUAUAAGCCAGCUUAACUGCAAGACAUACAAGUCAAGCAGAGACGAAAGUCGGUCUUAGUGAUCCGGUGGUUCUGUGUGGAAGGGCCAUCGCUCAAAGGAUAAAAGGUACCCCGGGGAUAACAGGCUGAUCUCCCCCAAGAGCUCACAUCGACGGGGAGGUUUGGCACCUCGAUGUCGGCUCAUCGCAUCCUGGGGCUGGAGCAGGUCCCAAGGGUAUGGCUGUUCGCCAUUUAAAGCGGUACGCGAGCUGGGUUCAGAACGUCGUGAGACAGUUCGGUCCCUAUCUGCCGUGGGCGUAAGAAGAUUGAAGAGAUUUGACCCUAGUACGAGAGGACCGGGUUGAACAAACCACUGGUGUAGCUGUUGUUCUGCCAAGAGCAUCGCAGCGUAGCUAAGUUUGGAAAGGAUAAACGCUGAAAGCAUCUAAGCGUGAAGCCAACUCUAAGAUGAAUCUUCUCUAAGCUCUCUAGAAGACUACUAGUUUGAUAGGCUGGGUGUGUAAUGGAUGAAAGUCCUUUAGCUGACCAGUACUAAUAGAGCGUUUGGCUUAUCUUUAAUAAAGCAU
rnacentral:rRNA from 2 species